rnacentral:lncRNA from 1 species
UUUUUUUUUUUUUUUUUAUGUUUGGUAAUUAAAGAAGGUUAUUUUAUAGUAGUAACAACAACGGAGCCGCAUUAUAUGGUUGACUUUUCAAUUCACAGCUUUUUUCUGUGAUGGCGAACCUUUGGCUUGAUGAUGAUGAAGAUGCGACUGCAGAACGACUGCUGGAUGCUGAGCAGGAAUUCUUUGAUUAAUCCAAUAUUGUCAUUUGCCAAAUUGUCACACUCAAAUCUAUCUUGUGAGAGACCGCUGGUUUAACUUCAGAAUUCAUAUUCGGAUUUUGACAUACCAACGGAUAUUCCAAAAUCUCGCUUCGUAUUUAAUAAUUCAAUUUAGUACUUAAAUUUAAUGAAUUUAAAUCUUAAUAUGUUACAUUGAACUAAAAAAAUUAAAAUAUUUAAAUUAAUUAGAUCACACUGAAUAUUCUAAAUAAAACUUGUAUCAAAAUAUAAGUAAUAAACUCUUCGCUAAUGAUAUACAUUGAAAUGUAUCGAAUUUAGUAUUUAUCAAAUUAAUAACUUAAUAAACUCAAUUUUUAAAUUUUAAAUUUUAAUUUUACCAAAUGCACCCUAACUCUAAUGCAUAUAUACUAAGUUGGUAUUUAACUCGAAGCACACUUUACACAACUCCGUUGAAUCCAUCAUAAAUAUAUUUUUUAAUCAUAUUUAUACCCCACACGCGUCACAUAAAUUGCUAUAGUAUUACUCUAGAUACUUUUUUCCAAUAACCCCCUAUCUAGCCCCAUUUUUGGUGUUGUCGCAUACCAAUGUGAAUGAUUAUAGACCAUUAAGUCUGGUUUCCCAUUUUCCUUUUACUUUCAAAGUAUUUUAAUUUCUCAUCCUCCAAAAUUUCUUGAAUUUUGCACACAUGUUAAAUUUAAUCCUCCUCCCUAGUAACUUAAUUAUGCCACAAGUAGUACAUCUCAACAGGAAUGGGAAAAAAAAAUUAAAAAAAAACCAUCCAUUUCAAGUGCCACCAAUCCGCAAUUGCAUAGUAUUUUAAGUUAACAUAUUCCGGAUAAAUUAUCCUUUAUUACGUCAUCAAAUGAACAUGUAUCAGGUGUAAAUAAAUCAAAGAUAAUGAGCAGCAUAAGUCCACCAUUGCCCUAUCUUCAACAGAGAAGUACCCAAUUGCCGCAGAGAGAGGCAGCGAUUAACCAUCCAUAAUGGAGUUUCAUGACCGGUCCAAAGGCAAUGUUUAUGGUCAAGGUUUCAUCAAGCUUUUCAUGACAUAGUUUAGCACUUCAUCCGCAUCAACAGUCCAUGCUACAGAAAUAGGUGAAUGGCCUGUCCAUGGGUUGCUUGAAUUCCAUCUGUAUCAGAGUAUUGAAGUUAAUUAAACAAGAACCUACGACCCAAAAAAAAAAAAAAAAGCACCUGAGAAGUGCAAAGCAAGCAAGGUAAAGCUUACUUUUUCAGCCCUUGGUCCAUCAGGGUAUGCCCCGCGCUGAUACCCUGUGUCUCAACCCUCACAACCCCCUUCUUGUAUGUGAAGAGAUCAGGCCGGACUAGAGCUACAAAACUGACAGGGUCGUGAAGAAAAAUUCCUGCGCAGGCCGGUAUUAACCAUUAAUAUGUGAACCAUCAAAAAGAGAAGAUCUAAAAAGAAUUUGAAAAUAAGGCAGGUCAAUGACAAAUUGAAACUAGCGUUGCAAGCAGCCAAAUUACCAUAGACACCGUCAGAUUUGACAUGCCAGUCACGGUAGAAUUUGCAAAUGUCACACACAAAUUGAGCAUGUUUUCCAUGAGAUUGUCUUAGUUCAUCAAAGGCAGCAUCUGAAGUUCACAAGACAACAAUUAUGAGAGAGUAACUUCCAAUGAAAAGAUUCCGGUGGGAAAAUAGGCAAGUGGUAAAUAGAAAGGGAAGAAAAACCUGUCAUUUUGACUUGUGUUGUGAUAUUUAUGCCAACAACAUCAACAUUUGCCCCAGAAGUAAACACAACAUCUGCUGCUUCAGGAUCACAAUAAAUCUGCCAGUCAAAAGCUUGAACACAUUAUUUGACUGACUGGAAAUUGAAAGACUGCCAAUGCAAGUAUAGAUACUUCGCCAGGGUAUUCAGAUACUUUAUCAACCAAAAAUUCAGAUGCACUUUUCUCAAUCUUCUUAGAUUUUGGAGGAGGUAAAAAUAUGUUGCCAAGUCCAUCUGAACCAUGAACAAAGUCUGCGAUGCAUGGUUCCCCCCCCUAAAGGAAAGAGCAUAAGCAGGAUGUAUCAAAUACACCACUCAAGCUGAAAACUGAACAAGCAUACUUAACACUGAAUAAUUUUUUUCUAGUUGACAGCGAAUGUUAUUCUAUUAGCCAAGUAGCCGUCAAUAAUUUUUGAGUUAUCAUAAUCAACUAUAGAUCACUGACUAUGCUCACAAGAAAAAAACCAAACAGUUAAUUGACCCAAAUGACACAAAGUGGUUACCUUGAGAGGUCCAGGGCUACCCUCUGCUACAGGCACACCUGGAUAUCCUGCAAUCUCACACUAUCCUUUUGCACAUUAAAAACAGAACUUGAUCAUGUACACAAUCCAAAAACAGGAAAGAUUGCAAAUUUUGGGAGCAUAAAUAACCAUGCAGAAGAGGAACUAAAGUACAGAUAUAACAUACCAAAAGCAAUGCAUUGCGAGUAGCACCUUCAGUAGUUACAUUACCAUAUAUUGUUGUCAAUCCUAAUAUAUCCAAGUCAGGUGAUUGGAAUGCCAUUAAUAUAGCCAUGCUAUCAUCUGCACAUCAGCAAAACUCACACUUCAAUCUCAAGUUCGAAAGAUCAGAACAGCCAGAGAUGUGGGAAUAUAGGGGCUUAUUUACGUGUUUGCACAAGCUAAACAAAACGUGAUCUAACUGUGUAAAACUAAUCACCUAAAUCUCAUUGAUAAUAUAUUUUGCUGGAUUGUCCGUUGAACCUAACAUAAGUCCAUCUAAUAAUUCCAAAAUAAGUACAUGAAUAAGGAUCAACAGUCUUUAAAAAGAAUCUCGAAACCUCUAAUUACCCCCAAGCCCCCAAUCCCUCCCCCCCCCCCCCCCACUAAAACACCAAAAAAAAAAAAAAAAAGAAGAAGAAGAAGAAACCAGGAAUAUUGUAACUUGAGCAAAAGACGAAUAUAUUAUCAUCAGUAAUGCUUAUUUCAAUUCCACUAUUACGAAAGAUUGGAGUACAGAAGAAAAUGCACUCAAAGACUAAAUUUUUCUUUAGAUUUCCAAUAUCAAAAUUUACUUCCCAUUUUUUUUAAAAAAAAAUUUCUCUCCCACUUUACAAAAUACACGAUGUUUAUAUAAUAUAUCUAUGUGCGAUUGGAGGAGGUAUAAAAGGCAAGACAAAAUAUAUAGAUUUUAGUCCAUAUGUUUUUUCACUACAAAGGGAACUUUUCUCCCGUUGAGGUAGAAUUUGGAAAAGAAAAUGCCAAAAAUUAGAAAUAGCACGCCGAAGGAUGGAAUAACAGACAUAGAUGAUAGAACCACAAGAAUAUAGAAAGCCAUAGCAUUUUCCCUGAUUCAAAAGUACGUAACUUUUUCGAUCAAACUUUGCUGUCAUAAUACUAUAUUCCAGAACCAGGCCCACUGUAGCCACCAAAAAUGAAAGAAACGCACAAACUCAGAGGAAGAUACCGCAUUAUAAAUCAAAAAGUUGCAGUAAAUCGAAUCAACUUUCCAAGACUAAUUGAGCUGGGCUCAAUCUGAAACUGAUAUUAGUAUUAUACUCAGACAACGAAACACAAAAGCAAGGAAAUCCUGAAACUCAUGAGUUAGUAAUUAGUACAAGAAAGGCUGACCAAUGCCAGGAUCGGUGUCAAUGAUGAGCUUGUGACGCUUCAUGGCACCAGAAUUGGCAAAAUCUUCGGCCAACGCAUCAGCCAUCACCAACCCAUUAGCGCACCCACCAUUAACCACACGUGAAUUGGACAUCCCUUUCACAGUACAGUUGAUUGCAAUCUUUCCGGUAGUAGUAAUACAAAACUGGUAGAUGAGAGUGUGAAAGCAGAAUUGAGCAGGGAGGGGGCUUGGAGUGCGGGCCUUAGGCACACACUUAAUUGGAGACUUAUAGGAAAACAAAGACGCAGCCGCUGGGGACCAAAUUCAUAGUAAUUAACAAACAAAGAGAAAACAAAACCAAGUACUAGUUGUCUAGUACAAACAACUCUUUGUUUGAGACUAGACAACUAGUGGUGAAAGAAAGAUGGAGGAAGAGUUGUGUAGGAAUUGGGUGAGGAAGAUGCCGAGAAGGUAUGGAAAUGCCCUCUUUCCUAAACUGUUUUUGGGUUUCCUAAUUUUUUGUUUAAAACGCCAUCGCGCACCACGCCUCCUUGUUUUGUGUUUUCCUAAUGCUUGUGUUUGGAAUGGCAGCGACAGAUAAACCAAAAACAAAAUUAAAUAAAUAUACUUAGUUGGACCUAAUUUAUCAAUCGUGAUUAAACUAAAAUUAAAGAUUGGACCAUACCCUGGUCCACUUUAUUUGUUUAGCAAAGGAGGAUAAAGACGAACUAAGAUUAACCACAUAGUCUACAGACUGUCACAUUUCUAGGCAAGCGUAACGUGGAUUGACAUUUGGCAGAGCCCUCGAAUUGCGAACAUUCAACUCACUUAGUGAUAGUCGAUUUGUUAGUAGAAUAUGCUUACUUCCUUGUUAAGCAUAUCGAUUAAUAUGCGGAUUAAUUGGGAUAGUUUUUUGUUUUUUUUUUUUAAAAAGUUUGAGUGGGUUUCGAGAUCUGGACAUGACUCUGAAAUUAUAGAAUGCUUACAUAGAUUUUUAAUCGUUCACCAACAUAAUUCUCACAUUGACAACACAAAAAAGUAAGCCGUCCUUAACAACUACACUAUCGUAUAUUGGUGAAUUAAUUGGGACGGGGUGUGUGUAUCAUGUUAUCCUUAGUUGCCACUAAUAUUGCUUGGAUACCUGAAAAGAAACUUUUCGCCUAAUUUUUUUCCCUUUUUUUAACUACACCAAAAAAUGGAAUUGUCAAUAAGGUCGAGUUAAUUCAAGUGCGACCCGUAAAAAAGACCAAUAAGCCAUGUGUUUAAGAGGAUCGGGCAGAGUUUAGCCUUAAAUAAUAGAUCUGAAUAAAAUGUGAAUCAAGUUUAUGACUCAUUAGACUCAAACCUAAUUAAGGCCUGGCCAGUUCAUUUCUGUGUCUCUAUAUAUAUAAAAUUGCAUACUAAAUUAUAUAUAUAAUAUAUGUAGUUAUACAGAUUAUAAUAUUAAUAAUUUAUAUACAAUUCUAUAAUAAUUUAUAAAUAUUAAUAUAUUAUGUAUAAUUAUAUAAUUAAUUAUGAACUUGAGUCGAACACUGUAUGAGCCCAAAACUCAUAUUAAAUAACGAAUCGAGACUGAAACUUCUAAUCUAGGUUCAAACCCGAAAGCCUAUUUUUUGAGUCAAGCUCGGGCUUGCCAAAUUCUAGCUCAUAAUGUCUAAUUGACACCCCUACCCAAAAAGUUAGGAGGUUUGUGUAAGCAUACGCAAUUGGAGGAGGAGGGGCAUAGUUACUACUUAAUUAGCAUGUGGUUUUCUUAAUUCGUCCAAGUUGUUUGUUUAGUUUAGCCGAAUAAAAGAUGUCUGGAGGCUGGAAUUCAUAAUUCAUAAUCCUAAUGACCAAAAAUGCUCCCCCAAGGGCUCAUCUUAGUCUUCAGUUGUUUUUCACCAUUAAUAAUAAAUCCAGUCAUCUUAUCUAAACUACGUGAUCCCAUUGUAUUUGAUAAUUAGACAGUACAAUUGACACGCCUCCCCCUGCCCCACACAAUAAUUGCUAAUUAAUUAAACACGAAAUGCAGUGCCGAGUAUUCCUCGUGGGCUGACUCGGCUCCACGUUAGGACCAUGGACGCUAUUUAAACACGUUUUCCGUCCAUCCACCGACUAAAUUUCUACUUGAAUUGUAUGUUGAGGGAUUGAAUUUCACCUGGGCCUGUUAGAAAGUAUCUCUUCGAUCUAAUCAGAUUUAUAAACUUGUUAGUCUCUUAUAUAACUUUUUUAGACUCUCUUUUCUUGUAAAAUAGAAUAUGAUAGAUUAGGUUCUAAUCUCUUAUAUAAUCCCUUUGCAGUUUCCUUCUUAUAAAAUACGAUAGAAUAAUUUAGGUUAUAAAAAUCUUAUCAUCGUUAUAAAAAAGAAAAACAUCUUCACACCCAUUUUUUUUUAAAAAAAAUAUUUUUGGGAUAAAUGAGAGGUGUAGGAUGCAAAACUUCUUUCUCACCGACAUGAAAGGACGUAUAUGACGGAAUUACUCAAGUGCCCCAGCCGUCUCGAAAUUUCCCCGAUAGCAAAUGCAUGAAAAACCUCAAAUUUCGGGGCAUUCACAUAGACUACUUUCACGUCAUGUUUCUUGAAUUAACUGAGCAAAAUUAGUUUAUAUAAUGCGAAUUAAUUUUUCCUGCACUUGCGCGAUAUAAUCGCAGGCUGUAGUCUGUAUCUACGCUGUUUCACCUGUUCCUUUCCUGUUGAUAAACAAACAUGUAAAAAAAAAAAAAAAAAGCCAAUUAAACAAGAGGAAUAGGCAGGGGCGGAGCCAAAAAAAAUUCUUAAUGAGGGCAAAAGCAACACUAAAAUUUUUUACCUACUAUUUUUCUAGUUUUUUAAGCAAAAAAAAAAAAAUUCACCAACAAGUACAAAUGAUGCAUAUAUUCCAUGAAAAACAUAAAAAGACAAAUUCAAAAUUAUUAAUGUAAUAAUAAUUUUAUUUCAAAAACAAACUAAACUAUUUAUAAUUGCUUACUGCGAGUUUUUAUAUUUUGAUAACUAAUUUGGUUGUGAAAUGUAGUGGCUCUCGAUUGUGGGGGGAAAAUGGGGGACUGGAGGAGGGAAGGGAAAUUGGUGAGUAGGGCCCAAAGAAAGUGAAUGAUAUGAUUGGAUGAAUUGAUCAAGAGAAAGAGUUAGCUAGCUGCUUAGUUUGUGGAGUAGUGUCUCUCGAUUUGUGUGGGAAAAAUGGGGGGAACCGAGGAGGGGAAGGCGAAAUGGGAGUGGGAUCGAAAAAAAAGUGAAUGAUAUGAUUGCGUACUUACUAGUUAAAAUGAAAAGGCUUUUUUUAGCUUAUUUCAAAUGGAAUUUUGUGCCCACGUAUCUUUUUAGAAUUUUAGUUUAUGAAUUAACUUAAAAAAUCGCGUAAUUCUUUCACAUCCUUUCUAAAAAAAACUCCAGGGUAUACUUAAAAUUAUAUUAAAAUUGUAUUAAUAUUAUAGGAAUUUAAGGAGACAGGGGGCGUGCCCCAGUACCCCGCCUUAAAUCCCGGCCCCUGGGAACAGGUUCAUAAUCCUUGCAAGAAAAAAUACAAGCAUCUUCAGCCCAUCAUUCCUUCUAGAAGCACAUAUGCCAAUCUUUCUGGAGGAGAGCCACGUUAAGAUUGAAAAAAUUUAAAUGUUUCGCCUUCACUUGUUAGAAUAAAUAGCAUCCAGAACUACUCAAAUACGUUGGUCUGAGAGAGGAGCUAAUUCUAUCUAGGCAAACAUUAAACCUAAAAUGCCCGCUAAAAUGCAUGGCAGACCGGAGUCAAAUUACAAUUUUCCGAAAAUCCCUAGCAGGAUCUUCAAGUUUAAUGAUAAACAAGCUAUGAAAAAUCCCUUUUGCUUUUUCCGCCCUCAUCUUGUCCACAAAUUCCUGUUAGUAUCAGGCCCCUUCAUCAAGAUCACGCUCUUCAAAAUGGUCCUGCAGUCAUUGAAGAAUAAAGAACCUGUAAGACAAAGUACAGUGUGCUUAAAACUAUACAAUUCCUCGAGGAACUUAAAAGAGCAAAGUUUGUGCCAGAAUCCCGGCUAAUUGCUUAGAUUAUAGGUAAAAAAAAAAAACAUCCGUCAAAUGCACCUCUGACACGGAUCGUUCUUGUUCUAUACGUGCCGUACUGAUUCAGCACGGCCCCAAAAUAAAUUUCGCAGAAGUCAGAAAAAUGUCAGCCUGUGCAGGUUUGUGUCAGUCCAGACCGUGUUAACUGUGCACGGCCCGGAAUGACGAAAGACUGACAGAUACUGCUUUUGUCAGUCCGGGCCGUACACAUUCAGCACGGCUCCUUUGAAAAAAAUUAAGCACGGGAUUUCUCCUUGCCAUUUCCAAUUUGGCUCGCAGCAGAGGACUACAUAUGCCAAUAAUGCAAAGUAAAGAAAUGAUAAACUAAUGGGGCCCUGAUUGGAGUUAAUUGUGAAGCCGUUUAGAAUUCCUAGUCUUCGACUGCUCAUGACACAAAUGGGAUCGUGGUGCUAGCUACAGACAAUUGUACGGUCUAUCAAUAUUUUGUCAACUUUGAAAUUAUUUUUUGAAUUUGAAUGUUGACCGAAUAUGCAUUGUUGAUAUUUCAACACAAUUUUAUGUAUUAUUGAAAAUUAUAUAUUAUGUAUUAUACAAAUAUUUAUAUAAUGAAAUGUACAAUAAAUAUUACAAAUUGAAAUAUUAUAUAAACACCAUAUUUAUAAUAUUACAAUAUUUAUAAUUAAUAUUAAUGUAUAUUAUAUAUAUUAAAUAUUUAUUUAUUUAUUUAUACAUAUUAUAAAUAUUUUAUUUUAUUUAAAAAAUAUUUUUAUAUAUUUAUAAUAUAUUUAUAUAAAUAUUAUAUAUUAUAUAAAUUAUAUUAAUAUACAUAAUAUUAAUUUUACAUUUAUACAUAAUAUUAAUACAUUUUUGCAUUUAUAUUAAUUAUAUUAAUACAUUUACACAUAAUAUUAAUAUAUAUUAAUUUAUACAUUUAUAUAAUAUUCAUUUAUAAAUUAUGCAUUUAUAAUAAUAUACACUUAUACAUUUAAAAAUAUAUUUAUAUUAUGUAUUAUAUAUAAUAUAAUACAUUUAUAUAUUUCAUAUAAAUAUAUAAAUACAUUUAUUUAUAAAUAUUUAUAAAUGUAUUAUAAAUACAAUAUUUAAAUGUAUAAGUGUAUAUUAUUAUAAAUGCAUAAUUUAUAAAGAUAAUAGAAUCCCAAGACUUGAUUUUUCUUUUGGCACUUGAGGUGUCAUUAAGCAUUAGCCCUAUAAAUAUUUUGCUUAACCAACAAAAACAUCCCCCUUCCCAAGAAAGAACGAGGAGCGAGGAAACUUACAAGAUUCCACAAAGGAUCACUCCUACGGCAUUCUCACCUGCUACAAGACCAAUGGUUUAAAUUUUUUUCAAAGGAGCCGUGCUGAAUGUGCACGGCCCAGACUGACAAAAGCAGUAUCUGUCAGUCUUUAGUCAUUCCGGGCCGUGCACAGUCAGCGCGGCCCGGACUGACACAAGCCUGCACAGACUGACAUUUUUCUGACUUCUGCGAAAUUUAUUUUGGGCCGCGCUGAGUCAGCACGGCACGUAUAGAACAAGAACGAUCCCGUGUCAGAGGUGCAUUUGGCGGAUGUUUUUUUUUUUUACCUAUAAUCUAAGCAAUUAGCCCAGAAUCCCACUCCUUCAUUGUGAUUUUUUGAAGACAAAAUCAACUAAAACACCGGGUGCACAAAGUUGCCUUGGGCUUCAACUGCUAGAACAAACCUCUGCACAUAAAUCAAAAUGAACCAGGGUGGAACCGACAGAAUAUAAAUUGCUUGUGCAAAAGACAAAUGCGCAACGAAACACAGGAUAGCCAAUCCUUCCCCUUCAGGGCAUAAUCCCAGUUGAUUUAAUCAUUGCAUUUAGCACCUUUAAGUUGCACUAAGGUGCUCUUAUUUGAUUUUUGCAUUUGCUUUCACAGCUUCUUUUCAGCUGUAACAAACGAAUUUUAGAAGCAACACCUAGUGGUCAUUUAGAAAAACAAAAUUUAGUUAUCCAAACUCUCAACUUUUUAAAAAGACUUUUUUAAAAAAGGAAUAAUAAAUUGCAAGAGGUUAAGCAAACAAGUACAGAAGCUCAGUAAGAAGUUGGAUGUAAGCAUUAGAGUUCUGUCGCUUGAGGUAGCAGAAAUGCAAGCUUAAAGUAACGAUUCAUCUUCUUGGUAAUGAAUUAAGUGAACAAUGCCCAUGUAGAUUUGAUAACGAAGCUCAAAAAUGAUAUGCAUCUAUCAGAACAUUGUGCACAUGCACUUCAAAUGCAAAAUGUUCUCACAAUUGUCUUUUUUUCUGCUACAUGAUACAGUGGUUUGACAUGGUUAAACUUAGAAUAAAACUCAUCAAGCUCUGUUCCACUAACUCUGGAUAUCUAAUAGCACCAUACAUAGAUACAACGGGUGGAAAUGAGGGGAUGCUAAUAUUGAUAAAGAAGAAAUGAAAAUCUAAUCCCCAAAUAAUCACACCAAUUAGCAUAAAUAAACUUGAUUCCUCUUUAGUUAGAAGCUCAGGUUCAUGGUGGUGCAAAAAGUCUGCCUCACUCAGGAAACUUGAGAAAAGCGACAACCCUUACUCCAUCCCAUGGAACCAGCAGUUCAAAGGUUCCUCAUCCAGGUUCACGUCCUUUUGUCAGGGGGGGAACCCACAAUACUUGUAGGGCCUUUAGCUAAAUGACCCUUAGGAUGUCCACCCGCUUGUCCAGCAGAGCUCCUAGAAUUCAAUGUCUCACCAGCCAAAACUGAUUUCUUAAUCUGUCAAAGGAGAUGGAAUUGUCAAAAACACGAGGUAAUGCUGUCUCUAUGUGUGAAUUCAUGUAUAAACACGGAAAAGUGUCUACAAUCACAAUAGAAAAUGAAGCAGUACAAACCACUGCAAGUCGCUCUCUAUGAAUAUCACUUGUAAACUGCAACACCAUAAGAUGAUCAGCAUCAGAAAAGCUCUCAAAGCUAUAUCAUAAACCAAAAUUUGACCAAAGUGUAUAUAUUUCAUGUCAAACUCUAGAGACAAAAUAAGUUAUAGGCUGCCAGCACAAAAAGAGCAGUCAAAAUGUUUUACCGGCUUUUUAUACGUCUUAAUCUCAUCUCCACUGAAUCCUGGAAGUGUCGUGUUCCAGUUUCUUUCUGAAUGAAAGGAUUGACAGAGUGUUAAAAACUGCAUUUUGGUCAACCGCCAUGAAGGGAAUUCCAAAACUAACCGAGAUGUAGAAGAAUAUCCUUUGCUUCCAAUGUGGCAGAUUUGCGAUGUUUAGCCAAUGAACAGCCAAAUGUCGUAAUCUGGUAAAGGUAAAAACCGGAUAUUAAAGAAAAUAAAAGAAAUCAAUCAUAAGUCACUGGUAAGCAUAAUAGUAAGCAACAAGAAGAUCACUUAAUACAGGUAAGAUUCUAUCAGACAUGUUGAGAAUAAUAUUUAGCCAGCCACUAAUUUUCCAAUUUCAAAGAAGGGCUUCUUUGAAAUUCACCUAGUUUAAGUAGCAUUUUCUACAGAUACCUGGCAACUUCCCAUUGAAAAGAACGUAAUUAGGGAAUGUAACCACCCAUCUACUGCUCAAAAGAGCACAGUUCCAAAAUAUCUAACCUGACAAGUUAUAUACGAGGGAAAAGAAUAGGUUUGCUAUGUGAUCUAAAAAAUAGACAGAGACAAUAUAUUGCUUCUGAAUAUGGAAGAAAGCUUAGUUCACCCUAUUUCUCCAAACAGUCAAAGGAUUGACAGUUUGAGCAAUCAUGAUAUAAUAUUCUCUUUAUUUACCAUACAAGUGGAACGUAUUUCAAAAAUCCAAUGCCUCCAGUUAAUAUAUUUCAUGCAAAGAAAGUCGCCAAUUUGGGAUUGUAAACAUUCCAAAAUGUUGUUUACUGCCAGAAUACACUAAAACUUAAAUUAAGUCAAGAGGUCAAGCAUGCCAGAGAAAAAGCAAACAGUGUCAACUUACAGAGUCCACAAAAUCCUCCGCAAUAUCCACAAGAAUGUCUUCAACUUCUGGAUCUAAUUUUUCUGAUGCAUCAACCUACCCAAGAGUGGAGUGAAUCACAGUGCCCAUCACAGAGGAAAGCCACUAGCACAUGCAUACAAUCAAUAAAGAAGCAAAAAUGCUGAUGUAUGCAGAAACAACUCAACAGUGCCCUCAUAUCCAGUGUAUGAACAAGGCAAUGCCAAAGUCAGACUGCACAAUUUACAAUCUACGAAUUCAUAUAUAGACCUUUUCAAGUAAAUAACAUAAAAAGAGAAAAAGGAACUGAGAAGAAUAUCAGAUGCAAAAUAAAGAAGGCAAGCAAAAUUUGCUCCAACUUCUCCUCACCCAUGCAAUCUAAGGAUGGAUUAAUUGCAAGUUUCACCACUCAAAUCACAGUAAUCACACUUUGGCUGGCUGCAACCAUAAUGUAGGUUGCAUAGAAUCAAAUGUUAUAGAGGACAACAUUCAGCAUGUGAUCGAGCAUGACAGGGACAUCACAUCUUCUGAAUUCUGAUACUGGCCAUUCUAGGACAUCCUAAUUGUCCCACUUCAGAAUAAAAAAAUGGAUUUGAAUUGUUAAAAUAUUAAACUAAAGGAUCGAUACAUGGCAACAGAUACACAGUUUGACUAGGUAUGACAAAUCCAGAUUUUUAAAUUUCUCAUUGUUCCCAUGAGGACUGGGCAGCAGGCACCACGAAUACAUUCAGAAACUCCUAACAACUUAAGCCAACAAGAAGCUGACAAACCCAAAAUUGUAGCAAAAUUCACCAUUUGCUACUUUGAGAAGAGUGGGCUGAAAAAAGGCAAACCAUUGAACAAAAGAGGCAAGAACUUGAUCAUAUUUCCAAAACAAUUGCAUGAAAACCAUACUGAUCCUUGAAACAGCCAGAAAAAGUCUAACUCAAGCUAGCACAGAUUGAUUGAGUAGGUCAAAGAAGAUGUAAAAAAGAAUAUAAAAAUGUUAAAGAGAGAAUAAGUGUUAAUGCUCACGUGGGACACUAGUUCUUGAAUGCUUCGUUUGCUUAAUAUCCUGUUACAAGAUUCCUCAGGUUCUGCACUGGGUGCCCGGUUAGGGAGCCCAGGCUGUACCGGACUGGAAGGUAUUGUUGAAUGAGAAGGUCUUUGAGUUCCCAAACUCGGAUUCCUUGCAAUCUGCUGUUGAUUAGGUAAAGAUUGCUGAAUCCUGGAUUGUGGAAGUUGCUGUCCAUAAUGCUCUUGAGUCCCAGCCCCCGAGGUAGAAGGUUGUUGAGAUUGUUGUGAGGAAGAUGCUUGCUGUUGCUGGGAAGUUGUUGUCAUGGCAUGGUGAUGCUGUUGAGUAAUAUGAGAUCGCUGCUGCAUGGAUUGCGGGCUAACCUGUGGCCUUGAUGGUGGCAAAGGAGGCUUAACCUGUGAUCCAGAAUUCAACCAGGGUUGAUUCUGAGGCUGUGGACUCUGCGAACUACCAGGUGACGGUGAUCCUGGAGAUCCUACUGAUGAAACUCUUAACAUGCCAUGACCCUGAAAAUUCUGCCGGUGGAGGAGACAAGAAUAAGCAACAACAUAGCCACAACAGAUGCCCUACUUUUCAAAAUCCCAAGUCAUGGAUGCAGAUAGCAUGUAACCAAUUUAAAAUGCACACUAACACAUCCAUCAAGCAACUGUCUAACAAUAGAAAGAACACAUGACUAGGGAAAGGACCAAUAUUAGUUGGAAUGAAUUUUCUUUUCAGGAAAAUAACAGGAGAGACUUCUGUCUGAGAUGUCAAGCAGUUUCAGCUUAAGCACCUAUCAUGUUCCUUUAAUUUAGAUAACCAACAGUGCAUUUCAUUAGCUCUGAGCAAUAAAUUAGCUUCUUGAUAUGCAAAGAGAUUACAGAUGUAUUUUUUUUAUCAUAAUUUAGUAUUUAUUAUUUUUGUCUUGCACAACGUGGUCAGAGAUUGGAUCUCAUCCUGUUUGUCAGUAGUAAAAAACUGAAAUGAUGCAGAAGAUCUCUUUUGGGCCAUAAGAAGGAAUGGCCGCACUCUCCUCCUUUCAUUCUUUCAUUUUGGCUGAUAAUUUGCAUUUUACUAAUUAAUAGAGUAAGUAGCACUCCAAAGGAAUUAUUACAAGAAAGAUACCGGUGUUCAACCAAUUAAUCUCAUCAAAGAUCUCCUUUUGCAUCAACGCAUUAACCAAAAAUAUAACAAUGUUUCUUCCUCCACAAUAUCAUUAAGACUCGGUACUUUAAAUUCCAAGGUGACAAUGCAGUAUAAAACGUCCACUAUUUCUUAGUCUGGACUUAGGAUGUUCACAAAAGCAUCACACUCAAAUAUUGAAAUUCAAAGGGCAGCAUAAUAUCUACUUCCCAGACAAAUUAAUUCACAACAUCACCAGGAAACCACUGAGCAAAUCACAAGUAUCAAACCAUCCCACGUGAUGAAAGAGGAUAAACUUAGCUCUUGAAAUACAUGCACAGACCUGUGUAGCAGGGGACUGGAUACUGGGACUUGACUGCGGUCUAGGGGAUGACUGCACAGGCCUAACCGGAACCCCUGGUGGCCGCAUUGCGGAACUUGAACCCAACGUUCCCAUCAUUCCUAUUCCCUGCAUUCCUCCCACAGUUGGCCUCACCUAUACAUUGCACUACAAUAAAUAUAUCUGGCAAAUACAUGACAUUUUCACAUAUUUACAGACAAAUUUUGAAGUCCAAUAAAUUAUAGACGGUACCUGAGAAGAGCUUGAAGUAGGCCCAGAAUCAGUGACAUUGCGGCCCAACCCACCAAAGGGUUGCACAAAAGAAGGCGGAGUGAGUGAUGAAAAGGAAGUGGGCGGGGGCGGAGGAGUGCCCGGGUGAUGGGCGGGAACCCCAAUGGCCAUCCCGCCCCUCGGUGGCGGCGGCACAAGUAAAGAAGAAGAAGAAGAAGAAGAAUUGGAUGCAGAAGCAGUAGAAGAAGCAGAAGAAGAAGAAGAAUGAUGAUGAGGGGGAAGAGGAAGAGGAGGAGGAGGGAGUGCGAAGUGUGAUAUAGGGGAAGGUUGUGGAGGUUGUUGCCAGGCUCUAUUGAAGGCUGCUGCUGCUGCUGGUCUUGUUUGGGUGUUGGGGGUUGGGGUGGAUGUUGGGGGUUGAGGGUUUUGGGAAGGAGAAGGCAAAGAAAGUUGAGGAGGUGAUGCGGUUGUGGAAGGGAGUGAAGAGGUGGAGGUGGAGGUGGUGGCGGUGAUGGGUGGUGGAAGAGCGGCGGACGAUGAGGCGGUGGAAGCUGUGGUUGUUGGCGUAGGAGGAGAGGGUGAUGGUGGUGGUUGCUGCGGAGGUUCCGGUGGUUGAGGAGUGGAUGGCGGUGGUGUUGGCGUCUGCUGCUCCAUUGAAUCAGCGCUGUGACCUGUUCGGAUUUUAGCGUCUAUAUUUGUAAGCCCUUAGGCCUUUUUAAAAAAAAAAAAAAAAAUCGUUUUUGUUCCCUGUUUGUGCUUUUACUUUUAUUUUUACUUUUUUUGGGUGUUUUGUUUGUUUAUUAAUUGUACGUCAAAAGUGAUAAAAUGACUACUGACAGCGACGGGACAGUUAAUGUAAAAAUGUUGGGGUCCAAAUCCCUGACCGUUUAUCAAUUGGCUGGAUAGGGUUUGUCUGUGGGUCCUCCUUAGAUUGCUCUUGGACCGGUUUCUCGAUGCUCUCUGCGUCGACUGAGUGUAAGUGUGUGUGUGUGGGUUUAUAUCCUUGAGGUAAAAAAAAAAAAAUCCCUGACCGUUUUAAAAGAUGUUAGAAACCUUAAGAGGGAUUUCUGAAAUUAUCCCAAAAUGAAAGGCAAACUAACCGCGUGUUGUUGGAUUUGUCAAGAAAGAAUGGGAAUUGAUUUCGACAUCAAAUUGCUAUAUUUGAGUGAUAUACACUAUUUGUUUUCAUAUUUCAGUCCCUUAAAUAUGAGAUCAGAACCAAAAAGAAUAUGUGCGGAGAGUAAAUAUAAUUUGCAGUUUCGCACUACUACAUCAAUCAAAACAACAAUUCGAGCUUUCAUAUCUUCAGGCACAUUCAUAUUGUAGUGCCUAGCAGC